rnacentral:rRNA from 1 species
UACGUAGGGUCCGAGCGUUGUCCGGAAUUCUUGGGCGUAAAGAGCUCGUAGGCGGUUUGUCGCGUCUGCUGUGAAAUCCCGAGGCUCAACCUCGGGCCUGCAGUGGGUACGGGCAGACUGGAGUGCGGUAGGGGAGACUGGAAUUCCUGGUGUAGCGGUGAAAUGCGCAGAUAUCAGGAGGAACACCGGUGGCGAAGGCGGGUCUCUGGGCCGAUACUGACGCUGAGGAGCGAAAGCGUGGGGAGCGAACAGG